rnacentral:rRNA from 1 species
CCUACGGGAGGCAGCAGUGGGGAAUAUUCCGCAAUGGGCGAACGCCUGAUGCAGCGACGCCGCGUGAGGGAUGAAGGUCUUCGGCUCGUAAACCUCUGUCAGCAGGGAAGAAAGGUCACUGUGCUAAUUAGCCGUGAAUUGACGGUAACUGCAUAGGAAGCACCGGCUAACUCCGUGCCAGCAGCCGCGGUCAUACGGAGGGUGCGAGCGUUAUCCGGAAUUAUUGGGCGUAAAGCGAUAGUAGGCGGUAGGUUAAGUCAAGGGUGAAAUCCCCGGGCUCAACGUGGGAACUGCCUUUGAAACUGGCGAACUGGAGUGUGGGAGAGGAGAGUGGAAUUCCAUGUGUAGGAGUGAAAUGCGUAGAUAUCUGGAAGAACAUCAGUGGCGAAGGCGACUAUCUGGCACAUAACUGACGCUGAGGAGCGAAAGCGUGGGUAGCAAACAGGAUUAGAUACCCCUGUAGUC